AGGGAGGGCCUAUAGUUCAGUGGUAGACCAUCUGCUUGACAUGCACAAAGACCCAUGUUCAAUCCCUGGCCUCUCUA
rnacentral:tRNA from 1 species